UGGGGAAUUUUGGACAAUGGGGGCAACCCUGAUCCAGCAAUGCCGCGUGUGUGAAGAAGGCCUUCGGGUUGUAAAGCACUUUUGUCCGGGAAGAAAUCGCACCUGAUAAUACCGGGUGUGGAUGACGGUACCGGAAGAAUAAGGACCGGCUAACUACGUGCCAGCAGCCGCGGUAAUACGUAGGGUCCAAGCGUUAAUCGGAAUUACUGGGCGUAAAGCGUGCGUAGGCGGUUGUGCAAGACCGAUGUGAAAUCCCCGGGCUUAACCUGGGAAUUGCAUUGGUGACUGCACGGCUAGAGUGUGUCAGAGGGGGGUAGAAUUCCACGUGUAGCAGUGAAAUGCGUAGAGAUGUGGAGGAAUACCGAUGGCGAAGGCAGCCCCCUGGGAUAACACUGACGCUCAUGCACGAAAGCGUGGGGAGCAAACAGG
rnacentral:rRNA from 1 species